GUAAGUAGAUUGGCUUGUUUCCUUUUUAUGCAAUCGAUAGAUUUUGUAGACAUGAUGGUGUCGGGAGGAACGGAUGGCUGCAAUUUCUAAGGUUUAUGUAUGUUUAUUGCUUUGAGGAUGGCUAAUGGCAGGUACUGAAUUUUGCAAUGGUACUGUCAUAUAUAGUUUAAUGUUGGUAGUCAAUUGUUUCAUCAGAGUUUAGAUUCAUGUAUUUUUUCUUUUUCAGAUCCACUGAUUUCGUAUAUAGCACUGUAAUUUUUUUAACUCUAACCAAUCAAUGGUGACACUUUUAGGGGAACCGACUGUCAGUUCAGAUUUGGUAUGUCGUGUCAUCGUCUGAAUCAACGCAUGUGGUGGCUUGUGGCACAUAAUUAACCUGAGAGCAAUACAUAAGCAUGAACUGAUAUUACUUGGUGAUUCUCUACUAUGUAUUCCAUACUUUUUAUCAUAAGUUUCCUCAGAGAUGUCUGAAUCAACGUACUACAGCUAGGUGGACUGAUAGGGAAUGGGCUCACUUGAUGACUAUUUAGUUUAAAGAGCAUAGCAUUUUCUGACUUACUAUAGCUAGGUGGUAGACUGGCAGGGACUGGGCUCACUUGAUACCUAUUUAGUUGAAAGAGUGUAACAUUUCCGGUUUCUAAAUGUCUCCUAAAAACCAUAGCAGUGACAGAAUAAGUAUAAAGAGCUAAUUGAAUCACUUAGAUCGCUGUAGUUGGAUUAGAGAAAACCAUGCUUUGAAUAAUCAUCACGGAUAUGAUGAUUUUACUACCCAAGGGUGCAUUGUUCUACAUGGCAUCAAAUUUACUUGCUGUACUAUAGCUCUCACCACCUAUUGAAACUAUGCCCAAACUAAUAUAGCUUACGUCCUGUCAGUCGAAUUCGUGGCUUGCAUUAAUCAAUUAUCAGAUUCGCUUUUUUACCUUCAAUACAUUGCUCUUAAAGUUCAUUUCUUAUUGUACCACCAGCUCUAAACAUAGACAAGAAUAAGAAACAAUACAUUUUCAAACUCAAACACUAAGUUCUGCAACCAAUCUUUUCCCCAUACAUUCAGACUGAAAGGAGAUGUGAAGGCGACAUGACUUCUUUCUUGGGUACUUAUUAUAUGGAGCAUCUUAUCUGAAGUGAAAUAUGAUCCUCACACUAUGUUAAAUUCCAGGCAUGUUAAUGCUAGCUUUUGCUUAUUUGGUAAAUGAAACAGGAAUUCUUUCUUAGAUAGCUAGCUUAUUUAACAAAUAAGGGGGUAACAAAAUGGAACAUUGUAGAAUUAAUACCAAUUUACCCUUGAAUGAAUUGUUCACUUAUUAUAUAUCAUCAUGCAAAAUGCAUUUUAUGUUUGAUGCAUAUAGAGACUGCCACAAGUAUCACAUUUCAGAUAAGGUCACUUGCCAUCCUUUUUGUCCAUUACUGAUAAUGCUACCUGUAGUUAUUGCAGGGAAUUUAAUAUAACCUUGAAUGAAUUUACCAAUUACUAUCAUUUUUCAGUAUCAAUGUGCAUGUCACCAUUGUGUGUCCAUAUUGCUUUUCGUGCGCUCAUUGUUUUGUCUUAUGCCCAGCAAUGCUUCCAAGCCGGGUGGGACAUUCAAGAAAAAAAAGGCAGUAAUUAGACUGUUGUGUUUGCAGACGGCAUUUGUACAUAAUGUACUUCUCUGUAUGGCCCUAUCUUCAUGGAUGGUUCCUGUUACGAGGUUAGCUCGCGGGCACCAGGUGAAGAGCUUAUUGGUAUUCUUAGUGUUUACUCGCUACCUCGACGUCCGCUCGGGUCCGGCUCAUCACCUUGAUGCACACUGCUACUCCUUUUGAGUUCUGUGCUACCAUUACUAAGUCAAGCUAAAGUGAUGCCCUUGGUUCCUGACUCCAUGCUACCACUGGGUGUAUCUUCUCUGCUCCACCGGAGCUAUCUAGAGCCUCUUUUGUACAAGUGCAGCUGUCUGAGAAGCAAGAUUUUGUAAGCAAUAUUGGUUUUAUUUUUGAACGUAGAUGAUAUAUAUUUGGUGAUGUGAUAAGUGUGUUGUGUCACCUACAUCCUUC